rnacentral:rRNA from 1 species
ACAAGCAGCGGAGCAUGUCGUUUAAUUCGAAGCGACGCGAAGAACCUUACCAGGGCUUGACAUCCUCUGAAUCCUGUGGAAACACGGGAGUGCCUUCGGGAGCAGAGAGACAGGUGGUGCAUGGUUGUCGUCAGCUCGUGUCGUGAGAUGUUGGGUUAAGUCCCGCAACGAGCGCAACCCUUGUCAUCAGUUACCAGCGGGUAAAGCCGGGGACUCUGGUGAAACUGCCGUGGAUAACACGGAGGAAGGUGGGGACGACGUCAAAUCAUCAUGCUCCUUAUGUCCUGGGCUACACACGUGCUACAAUGGCCGCUACAAAGGGAUGCGAGGCCGCAAGGCCAAGCGAAACCGAAAAAAGCGGUCCCAGUUCGGAUUGAGGGCUGCAACCCGCCCUCAUGAAGUCGGAGUUGCUAGUAAUCGCGGAUCAGCAUGCCGCGGUGAAUACGUUCCCGGGCCUU